UCUCUUUCAGUUUUAUUUUCUGCUUCUCAGUCUUUUAAAAUCAUUUGAUCUGAUUGUAAUGUGCUCCAGAUGCGAUUUGUUUUAAUAGUUUAGUCAUGCUUAAACAUGCUUUUGCACUUUCAACAAACAAAAUGCUUUUCACCAAGAUAAGUACAGUAAGAGGAGUAUAAGUUUUUGACUUUGUUUGCCUCCAUUUACAUCAUGGUCAUACAUAUCUUAUAAAAGGUUUUGGCCAUAUUCCAAGGUAGCAUUGUUUGUUUGUAUUGGUUCGGUGGCUUUGGAAGUUGAAUGAUGACAGCUGCAUCUGUUGGAAAUAAUUUUACCCUUUAGCUUUGGCAAAUGAUGAAGCUUUGAUAUUUUCCCAAAAUGCAUUGCAAAACGAUAUUAAUGUUAAAAAGUAAGAAAACUUCGAUUUUAAUGAUGAAGCUUUGAUGAAAAAUUAGAUAUGACAACAUCUCUAUGUAUCUCCGCCACACGAAAUGCAUUUUUUUUCUGGAAAUUUUGCUAACUUGGAUUGACAACUAGUUCUAUACAACUAGUGAAAUACCAAAUAAAAAGAAGAUUACAGUUUUAAGCUACUCAUCCAUGGAAAUGAAUAUUUACUUUUUCUUCUUAGAUGCUUUCUCAUCAGCCAUUUUCUGGAAGAGGGAUCCAUCAUAAGCAGCAUCCCGUGUUCGUCCUUGCAAAGUCCUUUGGCUCCACGCUUGGUUUUAGGGAUGUUAGAGACUCCACACUUCUGCAUACUGCCACUGGGAGAGGGCAGCUUGAGGUAGUUAGGCAUUUAAUAUCCUCGAAUGAGGUGAUGAUCGAGUCUGUGGACAACAGAGGCAACACGGCCUUAAAUAUCGCGGCCUACAGGGGCCAUCUGCCAGUGGUGGAGCUUCUUACACGCGCAAGCCCUAGCACUGCAUCUUUGACAAAUAACAGCGAGAACACGUUUCUUCGCAUGGCAGUGUUGGGCUUCCUCGCCCCCGGCUUCAAAAGGCUGAACCGACAGCUGGAGCUCAUGAAUAUUGCAUUUUCUAGUUUAACUUGUUUACCAUUUGUAAUUAUUGUUAAACUUUUUUAAUAUUGUUUGCAGACCAAAGAAAACAAUGGGAAGUGCCUUGAAUUUAUAGAAUUCUAUAAAAGAACUCACACGCUAAAAGGCAAAGAUUCAGAAGAAGGGGUGUUGUGUUCGCAGCGCGCCAUAGAAACGAUGGAGAAAGUUAGUGCGAAGGCAGAUGAAUUACGGGUACAAGCAAUGCGAGAACAAGUCACUAUCGAGGUGCGCGAGGACUUGGAGAAAAAAUAUGAGGCGUCGCGCGAGGACUUGGAGAAGAAACAUGAGGCGUUGGUCACUGAGAUAGAAAGGCAAAAUGAGGAGAUGCACUCGGAUUUUGAUUGAAAGAAUGAGAGGAUGUUAGAACAAACGAUGUACCUUAGUGAACAAGUUAAGCAAAUGAGAAGUCAAAAAUAGGUUUAGUCUUAUAAACUAAAAGUGUAAAACAAUAUUAUUACUUUUAUGUAAAAUUUGAGCUUUUGUUA